GUGUCAGCAGCCGCGGUAAUACAGAGGUGGCAAGCGUUGUUCGGAAUUACUGGGCGUAAAGGGCGCGUAGGCGGUUCGUUAAGUCCUGUGUGAAAUCCCCCGGCUCAACUGGGGAACUGCACAGGAAACUAGCGGGCUUGAGUUCGGGAGAGGGAAGCGGAAUUCCGGGUGUAGCGGUGAAAUGCGUAGAUAUCCGGAGGAACACCGGUGGCGAAGGCGGCUUCCUGGACCGACACUGACGCUGAGGCGCGAAAGCUAGGGGAGCAAACGGGAUUAGAUACCCCCGUAGUCC
rnacentral:rRNA from 1 species